rnacentral:rRNA from 1 species
GAUGAACGCUGGCGGCGUGCCUAAUACAUGCAAGUAGAACGCUGAAGGAGGAGCUUGCUUCUCUGGAUGAGUUGCGAACGGGUGAGUAACGCGUAGGUAACCUGCCUGGUAGCGGGGGAUAACUAUUGGAAACGAUAGCUAAUACCGCAUAAGAGCAGUUGUUGCAUGACAGCUGUUUAAAAGGUGCAAUUGCACCACUACCAGAUGGACCUGCGUUGUAUUAGCUAGUUGGUGAGGUAACGGCUCACCAAGGCGACGAUACAUAGCCGACCUGAGAGGGUGAUCGGCCACACUGGGACUGAGACACGGCCCAGACUCCUACGGGAGGCAGCAGUAGGGAAUCUUCGGCAAUGGGGGCAACCCUGACCGAGCAACGCCGCGUGAGUGAAGAAGGUUUUCGGAUCGUAAAGCUCUGUUGUAAGAGAAGAACGAGUGUGAGAGUGGAAAUUUCACACU